rnacentral:rRNA from 1 species
AAAGGUAGCAUAAUCACUUGUUCCUUAAUUAGGGACUCGCAUGAAUGGCAACACGAGGGUUUAACUGUCUCUUUCUUCCAAUCAGUGAAAUUGACCUCCCCGUGA